rnacentral:rRNA from 1 species
AGGGUUCGAGUCUGGCUCAGGAUGAACGCUAGCUACAGGCUAACACAUGCAAGUCGAGGGGCAGCAUGGAGUUGCUUGCAAACUCUGAUGGCGACCGGCGCACGGGUGAGUAACGCGUAUCCAACCUUCCCCUAUACUAGAGGAUAGCCCGGCGAAAGUCGGAUUAAUACUCUAUGUUGUAUUUAGAGGACAUCUGAAGAAUACCAAAGGUUUACCGGUAUAGGAUGGGGAUGCGUCUGAUUAGGUUGUUGGUGGGGUAACGGCCCACCAAGCCUUCGAUCAGUAGGGUUCUGAGAGGAAGGUCCCCCACAUUGGAACUGAGACACGGUCCAAACUCCUACGGGAGGCAGCAGUGAGGAAUAUUGGUCAAUGGGCGAGAGCCUGGACCAGCCAAGUAGCGUGCAGGACGACGGCCCUAUGGGUUGUAAACUGCUUUUAUGCGGGGAUAAAGUUCACUACGUGUAGUGUUUUGUAGGUACCGCAUGAAUAAGGACCGGCUAAUUCCGUGCCAGCCGCGGC